GUUUAAAGUGGAGAAUAAAAGCUGAGAUUGUUUUUUCUUUGCAAAUAUAUUGCAUCAAAUAUACAGUAUUGACAGUGGAUAAAACACUGAGGAAAUAAAAUUUUUUUCAUUUUACCUUCUGUCCAUUUUUGUCAGAUUAAGAAAAAUUAGUUUACCAUAUUAAGCUCUGCAUAGCAUAUUUUCAAAACAUGUACUUGGUUCUGAAAUAGUCUUUUUAAACAGAAGCUUUAUCCUACAAACGAGAUUCAGCUUAUAAUAGAAAUGUGUGUAUUUCAUAAUAAAAGGAUGUCUUUUCACACUUGGCAGAAAGGUGGUAGUUUACAUCUUCUGAACUUAUCUGAAUGUGUCCUAUUAAUGAUACAAUAUUGGACGGAACAUGUAGGAUGAUGAAAAUGUAUACAUGUUCACUCUUACACUAAAUUACGGUACAGAAAAUGGAAAGAACAUCAGGUUAUGGUCAUCAAAAUCAGGCAAAUCUAACUUGGGGUGUGUACUAAUUGCUGACUUCUUGUGUAAUACCUGAAGAGAAUGCAAGCUGACCUACAGUGGGAAUGCAUGUGCUCUUGACGGAGUCACUUAUUAAGCCUUUAGUGAAUCAUUUUAACUGUAAGUAACAACCAGGACGAGCAGGGUGCAGAUUAUGUAUCCUCUGCAUCAAAAUCCCAAACAGUUUGCUGUCUUCUUGCCCCUGAUCACAGUGGUACAACUGGAAAGGGUUGUGUUUAGUCUUUUAUUAUUAUUUGUAUUUGUCUAUUUAGGGCCACACCUACAGCACAUGUAGGUUCCCAGACUAGGGGUCGAAUCAGAGCUGUAACUGCCCACCUACAUCAUAGCCACAGCAACGCAUAAUCCAGGCUGCAUCUCCAACCUGCGCUACAGCUCACAGCAACACAGCGUCCUUAAUCCACUGAGUGAGGCUCCGGAUCAAACCCAUAUCCUCAUGGAUCCUACUUGGGUUCAUUACCGCUGAGGCACAGCAGGAACUCCGAAUUGUAUUUAGUCUUAAAGGAUGGUAUUUCUUUCCGGUGACAGGAAACAUCCUGGUUAAAUGAAAUACAUCUUCAAGGAAAGAGAUUUUCUGUGUAAGUAAACUGCAUUCAUUUUAGAGCCAGAGAGUCUCCUAACAGAUCCAGAAAUAUUUUGUGGACCUCUGGCCAGUGAAUCUCACCAUGUGGGUGGCUUUUCCUCUGGGAAAGGUCAAAAGCACCUUGUGAAGUAAGGACAUGACCAAAUGGUGGCUUUGGGGGUAUUCAUUUGGCGCUAACUCUACAAAAUAUUUGUCUUAUUUUCUUUUUGCCUCAUUCAUAUGUGUUUAUUAAAGGAAACUAGAUAUAAUUGAACUUCAUACUGGGGAAAAUGUAAUUUGGUACCAGGAGAUCCCUGAAUUGCUCUGUAAUUUCUCAGGACAUAUAUUAACAGCAAGAGGCUAGAGAUUGAAUCCAUCUUGUCUAAAAGCUUCUUAAGAAACCAUUCAGUCUCAGGGCCCAGGAAACUGUUCCCCAAGGGAAAAGUCAUCCUUCAGUCCAGGGUUCCUUUCUGCUCCCAAGAACUUUGUCUGAGUACAUACUAACUGGCCCAUCUAAGGUUACUCCAGGUCUCUAGUCCCAUCAUGAAGCACAUAAGUACUCUUGACUUGUCUUCAUAAAUAGUCAGCAUCACGGGAUAGCACUGCAUUUAAGCAGGUACAAAGUAGUGCUUGCUUCCUGUGCUUUUAAUGCUCUUCAUGGGUUUUCUCUCAUGUGUAUACCCUCACCACUUCUCAGUUGUUUAUCGGUUAAUAAUACAUUAGGUGCCAGUAGGAACUCAACAGUGAAGCUACCUUUCUUUAGACAAAAUGCAGUUUUGUCUAGCUUAUCAGUUUGAGAGUGACUUUUUGUACAAUUGUUUCUUUAAAUUGUAAAUUCUAAACUACUAAUUUCCUUGGGAUGCUUACAGUUGCAAGAAAAGAAAAACCCAACUCAAAGUUGCUGAAACAGGAGAUGGGCUCACUAUAAGAUGAAAGAAGUGAAAAUGGAGGCAGAAAGGAUGAAGUAACUUCUCAGAAGUUCCACAGCUGGUAAGAAAUAGAUUUACUGAGAGAGGGAGAGAGACAAAGUGCGGGCCAUCUCAGAAGACGAGAGUGGCCUGGAAGAUACACAUUCCAAAGACAGAGCGUGGGCCCAUCUCCAAAGCUGAGUUCCUGACCCAUUUCCCCAGCCUCCCGGACCCUCGGCUGGGAUUGCCCAGCAUCUCUUCCAGCCCUUUUCCAGGAGCCAAAAACCUCCUUCCUUUGGGGAACAUCCACCUGCCUGUGACACUUAAGUACUUGUCUUUCUGCUUCGAACCCACCCUUUCAUGUACGAUGCUCUGGGACUCCACACCUUCCCUGCUUGGCUCUGCAAAGGAAGCAGGAGGAGGGCGAAGGGUCCACAAGGAAGAGCUUUACCCAUAAUGAGAAACUCUUUCUAGAAUGUCCUCUCUGUUCAAGGAGCUGUGGUAUCCAUCUCUUCACUGCUGUGAUUCCAACGCGUGGUCCUGGUGGGAGCAAACCCCUCUGCUGGCCCUGCCUCCCGCCUCCUGGGUUCCAUCUAGAGUUUUUCUUGGAACCUCUCAAUCGCCACCUGACUGGAGGGGAAGUUUGAUCCCGUGGAAUGAAAGAAUCGGCUCAGCCCAGGGGUGUUGCCCAACCUGGGUCAGCACUCUGAGAAGAUGGCCCUGCCUGAGACUGGAACUCACUUGCCCAUGUCCCCAAGAAACACACCAGAGCUGAAGACCUGUGCUCAGCGAUCAGCCUAACGUGUUUGCCAGGAGCUGGUAUUCUGACAACAGCAAUCCCAACUGGCCAGCUUUCACUGUAUCUGCAGCCUGAGCAUGGCGCCGUCACCUAGUUGGAGCAUAUCCAGAGUAGGCUGGGCAUCCUGAGGCCCUGAGGAGGCAGGUAGGUGCCCAUUGAUGGGGGCUGGCAAGACAAGACAAGCAGGACCUGGAAGAUGCUUGAAUUGGUUCAAUGAAUGAUGACAGGAAUCCAGCAAGUUGAAGGUCAAAGCAGGUACGUGGGCGUGAAUGAAGUCAGGAAGCUACUUCCCAAAACAAUGAGGCUGUUGUAGAGAAUAACAAUAAUAAUGCAAUACCUAUGAUUUAUUGAGUGUUUACCAUUUGACAGGGACUUUUAUAUGUAUUUUAGGAAUAUUAUUUUAAUUCUUACUGCAGCUCCAGGCCCUGACUUAAGUUGGUUCAACUUAAUGAUUUUUCAACUUUUCAGUGGUGCAAACGUGAUAUGCAUGCAUUCAGUAGAAAUCGUACCUGGCAUUUUAAUUUUUUGAUCUUUUCCUGGGCUAGUGAUACGCAGUACCAUCCUUUCUCCCCUUUCUGAGAAACCGCAGCCUCCUGCCACAGCUCCGAGUCAACCACAUGAUCUCAAGGGCCGCCCACCAAUACACUCACCACCAUUCUGGACCCAGACAGCCAUUCUGUCUUUCACGUUCAGCGCGGUAGUUAAUAACUUACGUGAGAUAGUCAACACUAUUACAAAAUAGGCUUUGAGUUAGAUGAUUUUGCCCAAGGGUAGGCGAAUGUACAUGUUCUGAGCACAUUUACGGAAGGCUGGGCGAAGCUAAGAUGUUCAGUGGCUUUGGCGUAUUCAAUGCAUUUUCAACUUACGGCGGGUUUAUUGGAUGUAACCACAUCAUUUAAGUAGAGGAAGAUCUGUGUUUAUAUCCCUAACAGAAAAAUGAGCCCAGAGAGGUGAGGCAACUUUCCUGAUGUCACCCAGCAAGGGUGACACCCACCCCCUCCCGAGGCAGGGGCCCUGCUGGCAGAUAGCUGAAUGGAGCUGCAGUUGGUGGCAAGCACAGAGGCCACCUUAGGGUUUCCCUGUCACAAAACUCCACAAAACUCUUCGAGGUGGACCCUCCAGGGUUUGCAAGGGCCAGGUUCUGCUAAUUAAUGUCUGUCUUAACACGGCACCCUGUGCUGGUCUGGGUGACAGACACAGAGCCUUUCACUCCAAGGCGUUUGCUAUCUAACAGGGGAGAAGAGGGGACCCUUGGAGAUUUGCAAAGAAGGUGCUAAGAGGGCCUUCCUAGGGAUCCAGGGAGGUCCUGGAAGAUAGCAGCAUUUGAGAUGGUGGAGGAGAGUGGAGGAGAUUUUGACAGACAGUACAGGUGACAAGGACAUGCCUGUCUACUCAUCUGUGGCUGGGGGAGAGUGUGAGGAAAGCCAGCAGCCUUGAGCUGCGGGGUGAAAAGCCCAAGGGGCCUUUUGACUGGAUUCCUCAGCUUCCUCUCCAGCCUGGAUCGGAGUGGGCGCCCCUUGAGUCCACAGUUGGAAUGGUGACUAGUUAAGCCGUUGGUCACAAAGCUGCUGGCGCAUCUCAUGGACUGAAAGGCGUGCUCGGUGGAGCCCCUGUGAGCCCAGGGAGAUGGGCUUUACAUAGGCUUCUCCCCCUGUCGGUCACCUGGUGGACGCUGCUCCCACGCAAGGCGUUCCCGGCAAAAUGGUCCUCACCAGAGAGGCAAAUGGCCCCUUUAUCAGGAAUAAAACUUCAAUUGCCAGGUUGGGGUGGGUUUUUAAGGUUUAUUAAAAGCUAGGUGAGGAAUUCCCAUCGUGGCUCAGCGGGAACAAAACCGAUUCGUAUCCAUGAGGUUGCAGGUUCCAUCCCUGACCUCGGGUUCAGUGGGUUAAGGAUCCAGCAUCGCCGUGAGCUGUGGUGGGUGUAGCUGCGGUGGAGGUUGCAGAUGCAACAACCGAGUUGUUGCGGCUGUGGUGUAGGCUGGCAACUACAGCUCCAAAUCGACCCCCAGCCUGGGAACUUCUAUAUGCCGAGAGCACAGCCCCAAAAAGACCAAAAAAAAAAAAAACAAAAAAAAAAA
ensembl:lncRNA